rnacentral:rRNA from 1 species
CCUACGGGAGGCAGCAGUGAGGAAUAUUGGACAAUGGUCGAAAGACUGAUCCAGCCAUGCCGCGUGCAGGAAGACGGCCCUAUGGGUUGUAAACUGCUUUUGUUUGGGAAGAAACCUUUCUACGUGUAGAAAGCUGACGGUACCAUACGAAUAAGCACCGGCUAACUCCGUGCCAGCAGCCGCGGUAAUACGGAGGGUGCAAGCGUUAUCCGGAUUUAUUGGGUUUAAAGGGUCCGUAGGCGGACUUAUAAGUCAGUGGUGAAAUCCUGCAGCUCAACUGUAGAACUGCCAUUGAUACUGUAAGUCUUGAAUUCGGUUGAAGUGGGCGGAAUAUGGCAUGUAGCGGUGAAAUGCUUAGAUAUGCCAUAGAACACCGAUUGCGUAGGCAGCUCACUAAGCCUGGAUUGACGCUGAGGGACGAAGGCGUGGGUAGCGAACAGGAUUAGAUACCCUGGUAGUCCACGCCGUAAACGAUGAUUACUCGACAUUAGCGAUACACGGUUAGUGUCAUAAGCGAAAGNAUAAGUAAUACACCGUGGGUAGGUACGUUCGCGAAGAAGAGAAACGUACAAAUAGUAAGUUAGUACGGACGUGAGACGUACGACCGACGGACGACGACGAGGGGAGGAGGG